rnacentral:tRNA from 1 species
GUCAGUAUGAUGGAACUGGUAGACAUGCGAGACUCAAAAUCUCGUGUCGCAAGACGUGUCGGUUCGAGUCCGACUACUGAUA